UCUAGUCAUGUCUUCGUGCAUCAUAGCAACAGUUUUCAGACCAAAAACUUCAAUGAAUACGCAAAGCUGUUAGGCAUUGAUUUAUUAUACGCUACAAAAGAACCUGUGUGAAACCAACUCAGCCUGCUGUUACCGAAAGCUGUGCAAGCGAAAGAUUUUGAGGACCCAGAAUAAACCAUGAGGAACACAGUUGUGCUUAUCCUGCUUUGUGCAUUGGUUUGGAAUUGUGUAAGUGCAGGUGCUGACCCUGAGAUGCAACAGACGGCCAACGACGCCGAAAAGAGGGAUGUGACGUGCACUUUUAAUGGAAAGCAGUAUUCUCCCGGAGAACACUUCGAUAACGGUUUGUGCUGGUGCGAUGGGGGUGGAUUUGUUCUUUGUGAAUAAAACACUGAAAUCAGAACUCUGCAAUACUGGAUUUUGAAGUGCUUUAGGCUCUUUGGUGUAAUUAGGCAUAACCAACACGAAUGACUAUGUAUAACAAAUGUAUCCUUCUGUUCUUAGGAACAAAUAAAGCAAAAACUCAGAGAC